AUGCUGCUGGUGCUCUUGGAUGGCAGAGCACAAAGACAUGCCACAGUAGUCCCAGGUAUGUUCUGGCCGAGGUGGAUCCACUUCCAUCUGUUCCUCCACAUCUGGUGGAUCCAGCUCCAUGGUGUUGGGCAGAAGGCUAAGCCAGUCUUUGCCCAGGACUGCCCAAACGGGAUGCCUUCUGUCCGGAACGUUCUCGGGCCAGGGUGCCGAACGAGGGGGUCGUCCAGUCCCACGCCUUGGUCCUAUGCCACUGUCAGGUUGAUCUUGAUGCAUGGGUCUGACGCUGCCCUCUGGCUUAUGGCCAUUACUGGGUCCUGCACUGUGCUCUGGACUAUUGGCAUGCCUCUGCUCCCCGCGGCUGUCUGCCCGAUGCUCCCGCCUUCGCCCCACAUCACCGUUGCUCCUAUGGUAAGGCCCAGGCCCCCUGUUGCUGGGUGUUUGAGGGGCCGGCCUGUUCCCCGCAUUGUUGCGGUGCCAAUGGUAUUGCCUGUAUCUGUCUGUGGGCUGGGCGCCAGAGGUCCCUUGGGCACUGGUGUCUCUUGUGCCACCGGCGCUAUCCCUCCACCCACGACACCUCUCCUUCUGCUCAGGUGCAUUCCUUCUUGGUGCUUCACCAGACGGCAUUGCUGUCCUCGCACACCAAGGAGGCCUGCUGCUCGCCUUGCUCUUCUAGUCUUCCUCCUGCCGCACAGGCCGGCAGUCAGAGGGCCCAGAUGCUCAGCGAAUGGUGGGCCACCUGCAGGGGUCCUGUUUUAUAGGGCCCGCAGCAAAGGCCGGGCAGUGGUGGCCACGGUGACCUCAGCAAGCCUCUGUGGUGGAGCGGCCAAAGGUGGCUGUGUUGGGACUGGCCUGGAAGAUGCACUCACGUGGACAAGGAGGAGGGCUGGGGGGGCUGAGGGCCACUUUUCUGGGGCUGGCUCCCGCAUGCCUUUUGGCUUGCCAGAGAGAAAGGCUGCCCCUCGGCCACAGGGACUGCCCUGCACCUCCCAUCCUUUUUUUCCCUGGGUUUAUUUUUAA
rnacentral:lncRNA from 1 species